rnacentral:rRNA from 1 species
GACGUAGGGGGCCAGCGUUGUUCGGAAUUACUGGGCGUAAAGGGCUCGUAGGCGGUGUGGCAAGUCGGGUGUGAAAUCUCUGGGCUCAACCCAGAGACUGCUUCCGAAACUGCUGUGCUUGAGUGUGAGAGAGGCUCGUGGAAUUGCAGGUGUAGCGGUGAAAUGCGUAGAUAUCUGGAGGAACACCCGUGGCGAAAGCGGCGAGCUGGAUCACUACUGACGCUGAGGAACGAAAGCUAGGGGAGCAAACAGG